UGAACCAUGUAAAUGAGGUCAAGGUCAGAUGACACCUGCCAGUUGGACAUGUACACCUUACAGUCCUUCCAUACACCGAAUAUACUACCCCUAUUGCUUAUAGUAUCUGAGAUAUGGACUUGACCACCAAAACUUAACCUUGUUCACUGAUCCAUGAAAUGAGGUCGAGGUCAAGUGAAAACUGUCUGACAGACACGAGGACCUUGCAAGGUACGCACAUAUCAAAUAUAGUUAUCCUAUUACUUAUAAUAAGAGAGAAUUCAACUUUACAAAAAAUUUGAACUUUUUUUUCAAGUGGUCACUGAACCAUGAAAAUGAGGUCAAGGACAUUGGACAUGUGACUGACGGAAACUUCGUAACAUGAAGCAUCUAUAUAAAAAGUAUGAAGCCUCCAGGUCUUCCACCUUCUAAAAUAUAAAGCUUUUAAGAAGUGAUCUAACGCCGCCGCCGUAGCCGCCGCCGCCGUAGCCGCCGCCGCCGGAUCACUAUCCCUAUGUCGAGCUUUCUGCAACAAAAGUUGCA
rnacentral:lncRNA from 1 species